AUAGAAGGGGGUGCUAAUAAUGCAAGUCGAGCGAAUGGAUUAAGGAGCUUGCUCUUAUGAUGAUAGCGGCGGACGGGUGAGUAACACGUGGGUAACGUGCGCAUAAGACUGGAUAUCUCUCCGGGAAACCGGGGCUAAUACCGGAUAACAUUUUGAACCGCGUGGUUCGAAAUUGAAGGGCGGCUGCGGCUGUCACUUAUGGAUGGACCCGCGUCGCAUUAGCUAGUUGGGGAGGUAACGGCUCACGAAAGCAACGAUGCGUAACCGACCUGAGAGGGUGAUCGGCCACACUGGGACUGACACACCGCACACACUCCUACGGGAGGCAGCAGUAGGGAAUCUUCCGCAAUGGACGAAUGUCUGACCGAGCAACGCCGCGUGAGUGAUGAAGGCUUACCGGUCGUAUCACUCUGUUGAUAGGGAAGAACGAGUGCUAGUUGAAUAAGCUGGCACCUUGACUGUACCUAACCAGAAAGCCACGGCUAACUACGUGCCAGCACCCGCGGUAAUACGUANNUGGCGAGCGUUAUCCGGAAUUAUUGUGCGUAAAGCGCGCGCAGGUGGAUUCUUAAGUCUGAUGUGAAAGCCCACGGCUCAACCGUGGAGGGUCAUUGGAAACUGGGAGACUUGAGUGCAGAAGAGGAAAGUGGAAUUCCAUGUGUAGCGGUGAAAUGCGUAGAGAUAUGGAGGAACACCAGUGGCGAACGCUACUUUCUGGUCUGUAACUGACACUGAGGCGCGAAAGCGUGCGGAGCAAACAAGAUUACAUACUCUGGUACUCCACGCCGUAAAACGAUGAGUGCUAAGUGUUAUAGGGUUUCCCGCCCUGUAGUGCUGAACUUAAUCACAUUAAUGCACUCCGGCCUGGAGAGUACGGCCGCUAGGGCUGAAAACUCAAAUGGAAUUGGACGGGCGCCCCGCACAAAGCGGUCAUAUCAUGUGGGUUUUAAUUCGAAGGCAACGCAAAAAUAACCUUGACCAUGGUCUUGACCUUCCUACUGACCACCCCUAAAAGAAUAGGNNCUUCUCCCUUACGGGAAGCAAAAAUGAACAGGGUGGUGGCAUGGCUUGCCCCUCAGCUCCGUGUCGAUGAAAA
rnacentral:rRNA from 1 species